rnacentral:rRNA from 1 species
AUGCACGCUGGCGUCGUGCCUAAUACCUGCAAGUCGAGCGAACAGACGAGGAGCUUGCUCCUCUGACGUUAGCGGCGGACGGGUGAGUAACACGUGGAUAACCUACCUAUAAGACUGGGAUAACUUCGGGAAACCGGAGCUAAUACCGGAUAAUAUAUUGAACCGCAUGGUUCAAUAGUGAAAGACGGUUUUGCUUUCACUUAUAGAUGGAUCCGCGCCGCAUUAGCUAGUUGGUAAGGUAACGGCUUACCAAGGCAACGAUGCGUAGACGACCUGAGAGGGUGAUCGGCCACACUGGAACUGAGACACGGUCCAGACUCCUACGGGAGGCAGCAGUAGGGAAUCUUCCGCAAUGGGCGAAAGCCUGACGGAGCAACGCCGCGUGAGUGAUGAAGGUCUUCGGAUCGUAAAACUCUGUUAUUAGGGAAGAACAAAUGUGUAAGUAACUAUGCACGUCUUGACGGUACCUAAUCAGAAAGCCACGGCUAACUACGUG